GAUGAACGCUGGCGGCGUGCCUAAUACAUGCAAGUCGAGCGAACAGACGAGGAGCUUGCUCCUCUGACGUUAGCGGCGGGCGGGUGAGUAACACGUGGAUAACCUACCUAUAAGACUGGGAUAACUUCGGGAAACCGGAGCUAAUACCGGAUAAUAUAUUGAACCGCAUGGUUCAAUAGUGAAAGACGGUUUUGCUGUCACUUAUAGAUGGAUCCGCGCCGCAUUAGCUAGUUGGUAAGGUAACGGCUUACCAAGGCAACGAUGCGUAGCCGACCUGAGAGGGCGAUCGGCCACACUGGAACUGAGACACGGUCCAGACUCCUACGGGAGGCAGCAGUAGGGAAUCUUCCGCAAUGGGCGAAAGCUUGACGGAGCAACGCCGCGUGAGUGAUGAAGGUCUUCGGAUCGUAAAACUCUGUUAUUAGGGAAGAACAAAUGUGUAAGUAACUAUGCACGUCUUGACGGUACCUAAUCAGAAAGCCACGGCUAACUACGUG
rnacentral:rRNA from 1 species